AUUGAACGCUGGCGGCAGGCCUAACACAUGCAAGUCGAGCGAGCGGCGGACGGGUGAGUAAUGUAUGGGGACUGCCCGAUAGAGGGGGAUAACUACUGGAAACGGUAGCUAAUACCGCAUACUAUCGGAUAACCCAUAUGGGAUUAGCUAGUAGGUGAGGUAAUGGCUCACCUAGGCGACGAUCCCUAGCUGGUCUGAGAGGAUGAUCAGCCAAAAUGGGGCCGAGACAGGCCCCAGUUUCCACGGGAGGGCGGAGUGGGGAAUAUUGGCACAUGGGCGAAAGCCUGAUGCAGCCCUGGCGCGUGUAUGAAGAAGGCCCUAGGGUUGUAAAGUACUUUCAGUCGGGAGGCGUUACCGACAGAAGAAGCACCGGCUAACUCCGUGCCAGCAGCCGCGGUAAUAC
rnacentral:rRNA from 1 species